UAAAAGAAAAAAAAAAAAAAAUAAAGAAAAGCUCUACUAGAGCAAAAAUUACCAGUCUUGUCUCUUCUGGGCGGUCUCCAAUACAUUGUCGAAUCUGGGGUUUUCUUGGGUUUUUUAGGGGUUGAAAUCUAAUAUUGUAGUUGCAAACUACAAGCAUUUCUCAAACUAUUGCCUGCUGAUCAUGGAUGGUGUGGCUAAUUAAUGAAAGAUUUUUUUUUUUAUCAGAAAUAAAUUGAACAAGCCAUUAAGCGUACAAGCUGGAAGACACGAGCAGAAAGAGGAGACUUUGCGUGUGCCUCAGAAAAGGAAAACACAAAGAUAGCACGGCUGGGUGCGUUCUUAUUAGAAGUUUA
rnacentral:misc_RNA from 1 species